rnacentral:rRNA from 1 species
ACGAACGCUGGCGGCGUGCUUAACACCUGCAAGUCGCACGGAAAGGCCCUGCUUUUGUGGGGUGCUCGAGUGGCGAACGGGUGAGUAACACGUGAGUAACCUGCCCUUGACUUUGGGAUAACUUCAGGAAACUGGGGCUAAUACCGGAUAGGAGCUCCUGCUGCAUGGUGGGGGUUGGAAAGUUUCGGCGGUUGGGGAUGGACUCGCGGCUUAUCAGCUUGUUGGUGGGGUAGUGGCUUACCAAGGCUUUGACGGGUAGCCGGCCUGAGAGGGUGACCGGCCGCAUUGGGACUGAGAUACGGCCCAGACUCCUACGGGAGGCAGCAGUGGGGAAUAUUGCACAAUGGGCGGAAGCCUGAUGCAGCAACGCCGCGUGCGGGAUGACGGCCUUCGGGUUGUAAACCGCUUUCGCCUGUGACGAAGCGUGAGUGACGGUAAUGGGUAAAGAAGCACCGGCUAACUACGUG